rnacentral:snoRNA from 25 species
CGCGCAGUCUAGGAAACCAGUGCAUGCGUGAGACUUGUGCUGCGCUGGUGCCGAAGCUGCGCAAGA